UUAGGUUUCAAAAGUUCUUUCUUUUAACAUGACUAUCCAAAAAUGGACUGUAAUGUUUUCAGAGUUCGCGUAUCAGUUUCUCUUGAGUACAGUAAGAUACACAGGCCGACUUACACAACCCAAUUUACAAGGUGUAAUGUAAAUUUAUACUAGACAACAAUUGCUUCAUGUUUCUGAAAAAUGUUUGUUUUCUUUUUCAGCAACAUGAAGACAAUUGUGUUUAUAUAAACCACCAAUUCGUGAAUAGACGCUUUUCCAAAUCGGAUUGUGUUUAGUGGCUCAUUUUGCUGACCGUACGUUACCUCGAAAAUAUACGUCUUAAGUGUCAAAACCAGCUUUUUGGCGAAAACAAAGACAGUUUACGUGUUUCUAAUUUUCGAUUUAUCUUCUCGGUAUGGUAGUGUUAUAAAACUCUGUACUUUAUAGGCAUGCCAGCCCCCACGCCUCACGAGAAGACGCUGAUUGACGCCGCGACGGCGUGCGUCGCAAAGUGCAACCUGCCCGGUCUGCUCAUUGCUGAGACCAAGUUCUUGCAGCAGAUAGUUUACAGGAGUUGGUCCGUGUCAUGGUGAUAGUUGGUACACCACCCGAUACUGACAGUCUUCAGCUCAACCCACAUCUAGAAGACAUCACUAUAUUCCUCUUGGAACUACUCGGACAGACUCUUAUACAGAACAGGUGAAAAGCGAGUCAGGUCCGCAGGCCAGCUUCCCGACGACGCAAUGCAACGCGCGGGCGCGCUGCCGCGCCGCUGCGAGGCGCUGGCGCUGGUGGUGCGCGACGUGGCGCACGUCACGCCCUACAACUGCCGCGCCGCCGUGCGCGCCGUCAGGCUGUUCGCCAGGGCCACGCUGCAUGGUGGUCAGCAUGUCACUUAAUACGUGUCUUUUUCUAUUUAAAAAAGUUCUUCUUUCUCCCACACAAAGGAAUUUUAGUUAUUAAGUUCCUCGUUUCGCGGGUGUUCCACAAACAAAUGAAUAACAGGACAACUUAAGCGGGGAUCGAACCCACGACACGUCGCGUACAGUUGGUUUAGCCUGUUGACCACAACCACUCGGCUAUAUAUGCAUCUAUGAAUAGAUUCUAUUUUGAUCUUAUGUUGGAAUUGAAGAUAUAUAUAUUAUAAUUAUUAAAUGUCUAAUUCAAUCACGAAUUAAUUAAAACGUGAUAGCAAAAAGGCAAUUACUUGGCAAAGCUGAACCAAACCAAACUUAUUCCAGCACACCAUUGUGGUUCAGCUAUUCCUGUUCCUGAACAAAGACAUUUUUUUGCCAUAUGACCUUUGAAAUAUGUAUAUUAAAGAUAAUUUUUUUUUAAUUGUAUUUUUUUAAGUCCAGCAUUAUACUGAACAGAAAUCUAAAGUCUAGCAAAUCUCGUUCCGGCUGCAAAUCCCGGCCUAGCUCCGGCAGGAAACAUUACGACGACUCCAGCGACGAGGAGGUCGCCACUCUAGACCAGUACCACAUCGUCAGCAUACAGGUAAAUACCAACUUGCAUUUUAUAUGUUGAUUUACAAGGUUAUAGAGGAAUAGUUUAAAUGUUUUUUUACGAAAAGGACUGAACAUUGAUGUGUACGGACAUCAAGCUUUAAGAUGUUCAGUCAUUUUCGUCUAAAUUCAUUCAUUUCAUUCUGAGAGAGAAAGCCUUUUUUAUAGCUGAUUGAAUUGACAGAAAAUAAGUUUAUUUUAUUGUUUACCGCAUAAUAGUAAGUUCUAAACAAUAUUUAAUUGCGACUGUUUAUAGUCAUUUUUAGUACACAACCAAAUAUUCAAGCUAAGUAAAAAAUAAUUUUGUUGAUCAAAUUUUUAAGUGACUCAAAAAACAAAAAAUCGACUGUCUAAUGUAUUUUACAUGUAUUAAAAUCCUUUUUUUCUCUAUAUUCAAAAGCAGGUUGUUUCUCCGUCUUCGUCAAGAUUCAAGCCACAAUCUCGGGAAGGGUAUGAAGUACACCGCGCGCGAAGGAUGACUAUCGCCUCUCGCGCAUUGUACUUCUCUCUAUCUCGAGAAAUUUCUACGGGAGGAGCAGAUCAGAAGAACAUACUUCUCUGUACAAUUCACAAAAAGAUACUCUAUUGCAUUGUCAUAAAGCUGGUUUUCUCUCGCGCAUAUUUAUAGAUAUUGGCCGACUAGUUUGGGACCCAACCGAAAUCUUUAAUCAUAAGCUGACUUGGCGGGGAUAGUCGGCCAAUCUCAAUAAAUAUGAUGCGUGAGUAAACCGUUGCAUCAUUUAACAGUCAUAAUUACGAUAUUUACUUCGAAAUAUGAUUUUAUCCAUCUUUCAUAUUUCUCUUCCUUUUACGCAUUCCAGCAAAGAGUUCCUUCAACAUUUAUAUGAUGUUAGCGGCAAUCUGUGUGAUCCUGUAAAGUAUCCGGCAUCUUAAUACUUUGCCGAGUUAUUAUAUAGCUUAUACAAUAUACAGCUUGCCGGCGACAUGUAUUAUAUACUGAUCGACUAAAUAUCGAUAAAGAAAAAAUCGUUUGGAACUUGGACUGAUAUUUCAGAAAUUUUAUUUGAUGUUUUCCUUUUUUUUCCUCCUUGUUUUCAUUGUUUCCGUUCCCAAAGUGUAUAUAAACAUAUAUUAUUUUUAUUUAGUUUCAAAAGUUCUUUCUUUUAACAUGACUAUCCAAAAAUGGACUGUAAUGUUUUCAGAGUUCGCGUAUCAGUUUCUCUUGAGUACAGUAAGAUACACAGGCCGACUUACACAACCCAAUUUACAAGGUGUAAUGUAAAUUUAUACUAGACAACAAUUGCUUCAUGUUUCUGAAAAAUGUUUGUUUUCUUUUUCAGCAACAUGAAGACAAUUGUGUUUAUAUAAACCACCAAUUCGUGAAUAGACGCUUUUCCAAAUCGGAUUGUGUUUAGUGGCUCAUUUUGCUGACCGUACGUUACCUCGAAAAUAUACGUCUUAAGUGUCAAAACCAGCUUUUUGGCGAAAACAAAGACAGUUUACGUGUUUCUAAUUUUCGAUUUAUCUUCUCGGUAUGGUAGUGUUAUAAAACUCUGUACUUUAUAGGCAUGCCAGCCCCCACGCCUCACGAGAAGACGCUGAUUGACGCCGCGACGGCGUGCGUCGCAAAGUGCAACCUGCCCGGUCUGCUCAUUGCUGAGACCAAGUUCUUGCAGCAGAUAGUUUACAGGAGUUGGUCCGUGUCAUGGUGAUAGUUGGUACACCACCCGAUACUGACAGUCUUCAGCUCAACCCACAUCUAGAAGACAUCACUAUAUUCCUCUUGGAACUACUCGGACAGACUCUUAUACAGAACAGGUGAAAAGCGAGUCAGGUCCGCAGGCCAGCUUCCCGACGACGCAAUGCAACGCGCGGGCG